rnacentral:misc_RNA from 1 species
CACUUUUUUGACUGAUGGAAAGUUUAACUAAUUCAGUAUGGUUCAAAAAGAAAACUGAAUACAUCAGUAACCAGCAACUAUAAAAGGGAGGGAAAAAAUUAAAAAAUAAACAGUCACGUGUUAGAAAAGGGUCCUCACACCCAAUCUGUGACUCACCAAUUCAGGACCUGAAAGUAAUUCCAGAUUCCAGCCAUUCAACUCUGGCCUCAGAAUGAACAAACAGGUUGAAACUUGAUUGUUUCCUAUAACUCAUAUGGGCAAAUGUUCACCGCUUCAGAAUGUUAAAAUGUGCUGCACUGCCA